AGAGUUUGAUCCUGGCUCAGGAUGAACGCUGGCGGCGUGCCUAAUACAUGCAAGUCGAACGGGGAGUACUUACUUCGGUUUUUACUCCUAGUGGCGAACGGGUGAGUAACGCGUUGGUGACCUGCCCCGAAGAGGGGAACAACAGUUCGAAAGGACUGCUAAUACCCCAUGUGGUCGUACUGGUUAGAGGCUGUACGACUAAAGGAGUAAUCCACUUCGGGAGGGGCCUGCGUCCCAUCAGCUAGUUGGUAAGGUAACGGCCUACCAAGGCGAAGACGGGUAGGGGGCCUGAGAGGGUGGCCCCCCACACUGGCACUGAAACACGGGCCAGACACCUACGGGUGGCAGCAGUAGGGAAUAUUGCACAAUGGGCGAAAGCCUGAUGCAGCAACGCCGCGUGCGCGAAGAAGGCCUUCGGGUUGUAAAGCGCUUUUCUGGAGGAAGAGAAAGGACGGUACUCCAGGAAUAAGGAUCGGCUAACUACGUGCCAGCAGCCGCGGUAACACGUAGGAUCCGAGCGUUAUCCGAAUUUACUGGGCGUAAAGCGCGUGUAGGCGGCCGGGUAAGUUGGACGUGAAAGCUCCUGGCUCAACUAGGAGAGGUCGUUCAAAACUGCCUGGCUAGAGGGCGACAGAGGGAGGUGGAAUUCCCGGUGUAGUGGUGAAAUGCGUAGAUAUCGGGAGGAACACCAGUGGCGAAGGCGGCCUCCUGGGUCGCCCCUGACGCUCAGACGCGAAAGCUAGGGGAGCAAACGGGAUUAGAUACCCCGGUAGUCCUAGCUGUAAACGAUGUGGACUUGGCGUUGGUGGGGUCAAAUCCAUCAGUGCCGAAGCUAACGCGAUAAGUCCACCGCCUGGGGACUACGGCCGCAAGGUUAAAACUCAAAGGAAUUGACGG
rnacentral:rRNA from 1 species